rnacentral:ncRNA from 2 species
UUUUUAUACAGAGGCGUGGAGAGACAGGCUCCGUGAAGCGCCGGCAACCAUCGGGAAAGUCUCGAACGGUGCCAAUUCCUGAGCAUAUAAAAA